rnacentral:rRNA from 1 species
GAUGAACGCUAGCGGCAGGCUUAAUACAUGCAAGUCGAGGGGCAGCAUGAGUGUAGCAAUACGUUUGAUGGCGACCGGCAAACGGGUGCGGAACACGUACACAACCUUCCGAUAAGUGGGGAAUAGCCCAGAGAAAUUUGGAUUAAUACCCCGUAACAUAUAGAGGUGGCAUCAUCUUUAUAUUAUAGCUACGGCGCUUAUUGAUGGGUGUGCGGCUGAUUAGAUAGUUGGCGGGGUAACGGCCCACCAAGUCUACGAUCAGUAGCUGAUGUGAGAGCAUGAUCAGCCACACGGGCACUGAGACACGGGCCCGACUCCUACGGGAGGCAGCAGUAAGGAAUAUUGGUCAAUGGACGCAAGUCUGAACCAGCCAUGCCGCGUGAGGGAUUAAGGUCCUCUGGAUUGUAAACUUCUUUUAUCUGGGACGAAAAAAGGCGAUUCCUCGUCACUUGACGGUACCAGAUGAAUAAGCACCGGCUAACUCCGUGCCAGCAGCCGCAGUAAAAC